rnacentral:rRNA from 1 species
UGAGGAAUAUUGGGCAAUGCCCGCAAGGGUGACCCAGCAACGCCGCGUGGAGGAUGAAUGUCGUAAGAUUGUAAACUCCUGUUAGAGGGGAAGAAUAGUACCGGUUGGACCGGUAUAUGACUGUACCCUCAGAGAAAGCCCCGGCUAACUACGUGCCAGCAGCCGCGGUAAUACGUAGGGAGCAAGCGUUGUUCGGAUUUACUGGGCGUAAAGGGCGCGUAGGCGGCGCGGUAAGUCACUUGUGAAAUCUCUGAGCUUAACUCAGAACGGCCAAGUGAUACUGCUGUGCUAGAGUGCGGAAGAGGCAACCGGAAUUCUUGGAGUAGCGGUGAAAUGCGUAGAUAUCAAGAGGAACACCUGAGGCGAAGGCGGGUUGCUGGGCCGACACUGACGCUGAUGCGCGAAAGCCAGGGGAGCAAACG